GUCUUCUCACAGAGUAUUUGGAACUGAGGCACUUUGUUUGUGAAAUGAUUGGACAGUGUGUCUAGAAGAGCCCAUGAGGAUAGCAAUAAUUAUUUUCCAGAUUAAGAUUGACUGUUGUUCAUUAAGUGAGGUGGUGGGCCGCGUACUGAAGCAGAAGGGGAAAAUUAAGUGACAAAUGACAUAAAAGCCUUCUUCUGUUCUUUCUCUCUGCUACAUGCAGAAGAAUGGGGAAGACAGUGAUAGCGCUAUGAUAAUAGGGUAGAAGGAUAUAUUAUAAUUCAUUCCUCCAAAGAGGGAAAUAAAGUUGCUUGUUCAAUGUCUUGGGGGAGAAGCUGAUUUUGUAGGCUUCAUGAUCUAUGUUUUUGUUUUGUAGUAAAUGUGUGCACAUACAUGCAAUCAUUUAAGUGGUUUGAGUAGGUGUAAUUUUCAUUCUCACUUGGUUAAUCACUUCACAGAAUGAGAACUGAGUUAAAACUUUCAUUGCAGGGAACCUCACAGUGAAUAUGUGAAUAUCUCCCCGAAGGAGGGUAGUUUGUUCCACCUAUUAAUCCUGUGUCAGCUCUGCAUAGGCAGUGAGGGAGCUGUAGCUCCAGUUUCCAAACCCUUUUGCUAUAAUACUUUGAUUUUUCUAGCGAAGUCCUUGUUUUCCUCUGAUUAUGUUCUUAACUUACUGCAUAUUUUGCUGAAGGAUCCUCAGAGUACCCACAAGGACCUGUGAGAUCAAGAACUGAUUAGAGUCAGGCAGGGAAAGACAUGCAUAAGAGGGAAUGAAGAUGGCAAUCUCAGGUGCACUUCAAGUCUCAGACAGCACCAGCUGAAACUUUCAGCCUGCUUAGCAUCGCCUUCUUUUAAAUCUUUCUGUUCGCUAUAACUUGAGUCUCUAGAGAAGGAUGGUGGUGGACAGCCAGUUCACUGUUCACGUUGAUAGGUAAGUUAGCAGUAUAUCAGAAGAAUUCUUUGAAAAAAGUUAUAAACGCUAAGGAAGUGGUUGCAUGCAAUUUUCAACAUAUUUUAGCUGCUUGUUAGUUCAAGGAAAUUGUGUUCUACUGAAUGCAAAAGCACAUCUCUUUUUUCUUUGUAUGUUUGCAGCAGCAGGUAGGUGGUGAGCUGUGUGAAGCAUCCUGAGUAGGGAUGAAUGAGCCGCUUUGAAAGAAGAAAGUCUCUCCCAGGAUUUUGCCAGCUUUUUGAACUUGACUUUUAACUUGUUUUGGGAAUUGUCACAUUUUAUUUAGGCUUAGACAUGAAAAGGGCAUACAUCUUGGAGGAUAGUUUUUCCUUCUGAGGAUUCCAGAUAAACACUGGAAAAUCAAGCUUAGUAGAUGCUAGAACGCUUUUAGAAUACUUUUCAAAACAAAGAUGGAGUGGUAGCUCAGGCCCAUCAGAGAGCUCAUCAUGGCCAUUGUGAACUCAGAUUUUUGAAGGAAGAGGCAAGGAACAGAAAUUACUGCAUAAAUCAUCUGCAGACAGAAUCAAUGUGUGUCCUCAUUUUGUUUAACCUAGUAAAGUUGGUGAGAGAUCUGCUGUAGUAGGGAAGCUGCAAUCGUGCAUGACUCAUGAGGAGACUUUUGGCUAAUCUGACCAUUUGAGGACGCUGAAUAGCUUAGUGAAACACAUUUUGGACAACUACAUUUCCAACCCAUUCUGUGUGAACCAACUGUGUUUCACAGAGCAGCUGCGAUAACCUCUGACUAAUUGGCUUUUUGGAAGGUUACCUGCUG
ensembl:lncRNA